CUUAGCCCUCCUGCACUUAAUGUACCUCCAGUUGCAAGGCCAAAAAGGCCUAGAUCCAGUAUUUUGCCCACAUCUCCUGAUUCAUCUGUCCUUACUAGGGAAGGUGGAUAUCUCAUCCCGAUCUUUUCCAUUCAGUAUCUUGUGCACCUAGGGGUGGGCAUUCAGUAUUUCGGUUCGGUUCGGUUUUUUUUUCGGUUUUUUCGGUUUUUUUUUUUAAAAUUACGUACCGAAUACCGAACCGAAAUAUUUCGGUUCGGUUCGGUUUUUGUUAAUUCGGUUCGGUUUUUAUUAAUUUGGUUCGGUUUUUUAUUUCGGUUCGGCUGCUCCUGCUGGCUGCUGCGGCUGGUUGCUGCGGCUGGCUGCUGCGGCUGGCUGCUGCGGCUGGCUGCUGCGGCUGGCUGCUACUGCUGUCUGCUGCGGCUGGCUGCUACUGCUGCUGCUGGCUGCUGCUCGACGGCUGCUACUGCUGCAGCUGGCUGCUGCUCGACGAGGACGGCGGCUGAAGAAUGAAGAAAAGAGGAUGAAGUUGAAGAGAGAGGAAGAGGAUGAAGUUGAAGAGAGAGGAUGAAGUUGAAGAGAGAGGAAGAGGAUGAAGUUGAAGAGAGAGGAUGAAGUUGAAGAGUGAAGAGGAUUAGGGUAUUAGGGAUUUAGAGUUUUUUAUUUUUUUAAAAAAAUUAUUUAAUAUUAAUAAUUAUUAAAUAUAAUAUAAUUUAUAAAUUAAAAUAAUAAUAUUUCGGUUUAAACCGAAAUACCGAAUUUCAAACUAAUACGUACCGAAAACCGAACCGAAAUACCGAAAAUACAAAAAAAUAAACCGAAUACCGAACCGAAAACCAAAAAAACCGAAACUGAAAUUUUAAAAAAUUUCGGUUCGGUUCGGUGUUUCGGUUUUCCGGUGUUUAUGCCCACCCCUAUGUGCACCGCUUAUAAGUCUUGUUUUCGAGUUAAGUAAUUGUCAUGUACUUUCUUAUUUUUUGUUUAAGGUUCAUCAAGAGCGACAGCAGACCAUUCCCAAGCCAGUGGGUUUCCGAGGGUCUUGCAAGGUCAAGAGUUAUCGACCUUUAGAGGCG
rnacentral:lncRNA from 1 species